UUUGGAAUAAAGAAUCAGAGCGGCAUGGAAACAGAGGCUCACGGAACCCUGGAGCCGAGUGACAUCAGAGACAAACCCAGCCCCAAACUCAGGCUCGGUGCUCAGAAGAGGCUUGUAAGCUAAAAUAGUAACCAUUCUUGCUCUAAGAGCAAGAGCAUUUUCAGAUGCCAGGCUGACUGGCAAACACCUACACCACCUCGCUCACGCUUAUGCCACAGGACCAUCUAUCAUCAAGAAACCAGGAUGCAUGAUUCCAGCAGCUGUGUUCCCUGCACAGCCUUGAACAGUAAGGGCCCAUUAACAUCCCAUCAGCUUAGGAGGCUCCACCCCUUCCCAGCUACAUCUAUAUUAUAAAAGACAAAAGUUGACCAGAGGUGUCCUGUGUCCUGGCUUUUAUGCUUUUACAGCAGUGCAAACUACAUCAUGAAGUUUGGAAAGAGGACAGAGAGGAGGCAGAGCCAAGACAGCUGAAAAGUGGCAGAAUGCUCGUGAAGAAAUGGAACCAAGGUGAACGGGAGCAGCGGGAGCGGAUCGGCCACUUAGAUUUUACCCAAAGGAAGUGCAUGCUUUAACAGUUUUUGAGAAUACUACAAGG